rnacentral:lncRNA from 1 species
UGCAGACUUCAUUUUGCAGGUGCUCGUUCUCGAUGAACAGGCGAUGAGGGGAUUGGCAGCAACAGAUUGGUGCGUCACGUAGGGGGAAGACAGCGGCAAGAAGAAAACUUGCAAUGACGAGAACCAAAGCUCAACGAUCAAUGGCGACCGGCUCGGCAUGACACUCUUUCCGUCGGAAAGAGGUCCCUCCCAUGCCUCCGGUAGCAGAGCCCAGUUCUCCAUGUCCCGUGGUUAUCACAGACGCUCAGAUUGUUGUGAUCGUGCAAUAAAUGAACGUCUUCACGGAGGUAGUCAAAAGCCUCCAACAACAACAAAUCCAGCCACCACAAUCGCUGGUGGAG